UCGGGAAUUUUUUGCAAUGCGCGAAAGCGUGACAGAGCGAGCCAGAGUGCUGUUCCGUAUUGGAACAGCUUUUGCCACAUGUAAAAAGUGUGGCGAAUAAGGACUGGGCAAGAUUGGUGCCAGCCGCCGCGGUAAUCCCAACAGUCCGAGUCGCAGCCACAAUUAUUGGGUCUAAAACAUCCGUAGCUUGUUUAGUAAGUCUCUUGUCAAAUCGGGCCUCUUAAGGGUCCGGCGAGCAAGGGAUACUGCUGAGCUAGGGACCGGGGGACGUAGUGAGUACGGUACGGGUAGCGGUAAAAUGCGUUGAUCCAUACUGGACUAACAACAGCGAAGGCACGCUACGACAACGGAUCCGACAGUGAGGGAUGAAGGCUAGGGGCGCAAAUUGG
rnacentral:rRNA from 1 species